rnacentral:lncRNA from 10 species
UGCAUGUAGUGUCCCCAGAGUGUAGGUUUUGCAAGCCAUAUAACUCUGCCAGUGCCUGGUAGCACAGACAGCUUUCCUGUCAUCUGACUCAUGUAGUACAACUGGCUGGGCUGCCACAAUGCCCAGAUCUUGCAAUGCAGAUGGAUUCUUUUCCAGCCUCCUGCCAUGUUCACACCUUCUCCACUGCCAUCUUCUGCAGUGCAUGGUGGCGGCAGCACCCAUCAACCUUAGCUUCCCCUGGCAAUUCCCUCGGCCAGUUUUGUAGUAGAGUGCCUCAGUGAAACACCUUCCCAUGAGCAGCUGGAAGUCAGCUGGGCUCUCCUUAUGCCAGGCCUGAAAACUCUCAAGCAGAUGAGAAAAUGGAGGUUUCAAGAAAUUCAAUAGCCUUGCCAUUGUCACCUGGCAAGUAAACAAUCAAAACAGAACUGUGAUGCAAACCAAGCACUGACUGACUCUGGAUGCCACCCUCCUCCCUACCUUGCUCAAGGAGCAUAGAAGUCAGGAGAGAGUUAUCUUAGGAACCUGAUAACGUGUUUGUGAUACCCCCUAGAAGGAUGAGUUGCUGCCAUUAGUCUGUGGACCUCCGACAAAAAAGCAUCUCCAGAGUACUGGGAAGCAAUUGACAUGCACACUUUGAGGGGGUUCUGAGGAAUGGAAGAGGGCACAGAGAGUCACCAGUGUGUGACUGUGUGUUUUCUGAAAGGCGGUUUUCUGUGACUCUCAUUACCAAGCAAGGUCACACAGAUGUACACAUGUAGACAGCCUGAGACUAAAAAUAAUUUAAAUUCUUAACAGAAGUAUGACAUCUGACAUCUUUAAAAGAUGAGGUCCUUAAUUUAUGAAAGCAUUUCAUGGGAAGACAAAUGAAAAAUGAACGUGGGGAAGGAGAACAGACUGUAUAUGUAAGUGUUUAAAGAAGAGAAAGAGACUUUUUAGAAGAGAAAGAAAAAAUUAGAAAAAAAAGAGGAAAGAGAAAAAAAGCAAAAUGCACAGCUGACAAACUGAAGCUUAAAAAAGUCAAGAAGCUUCUGUUAAGUGCUGCCUUGGCUUCUCCUGUCCUGAGGUAAGUAGCACCAAUUGACCUGCUGAGUGAGAAUACAGAGGAAAAAGGGCAAACCUCAAAAGGGGAGGAACAAUAUUAUUGAGUACUUGCUAUGAGCUAGGUACUGUCUUUUAUGCUUUACACAUAAUGCAUCAUUUAAUUAUGACUACAACCAUGUGUCCAGAUAGGCAUUACUACAUAUUAUAGAUCAAGAAACUGAGUCUGAGAGGAGAGAACCGUUUACCCAUGUUUUUGCAGCCAGUAAAUGGUGGAGUCAGAAUUCAAAUCUAGAUUCACUUGACUCCACACUUUUCCAUAUAAGAGCCCCAUAGGCCUCGUCCUUACCCAUGGUAGCACUGGGUGAGUUAUCCUUGCUACAUGCUUUUCAGAGUGCUACAUGUUCUCCUUCAUGAAAAUGAGGAAAGUGUACUUAAGAAAGUCAGUUCUCCAAUGAGAACACAUGGACACAGGCAGGGGAACAUCACACACUGGGGCCUGUCGGGGGUGGGGGGCUGGGGGAGGGAUAACAUUACAAGAAAUACCUAAUGUAGAUGAUGGGUUGAUGGGUACAGCAAACCACCAUGGCACAUGUAUACCUAUGUAACAAACAUGCACGUUCUGCGCAUGUAUCCCAGAACUCUGCGCAUGUAUCCCAGAACUUAAAGUAUAACAGUAAAGAAAACAAAACAAACAAAAACAAACAGAAAAAAAAAUUCGAAUGAUUGAUAAACAUGCAUGGAUGCCCAAAAUAAAUACAUAAAUAAAUAAGAAAGUCAGUUCUCAUAGCGUAGAACUGAGAGUACUGGAUUUCUGAGUAUGUAAAUAGGAUUAGAGUUAUUUCCAGUCUUCCUCUUCAUAAGUCUCUGCUCACUUGCCCUGGUUAUAUAUGUAUGUCAUGUGCAUAUAUAUUUUUUUUGCUUUUCAAAUUCUGCUCAGUCCAGGAACAUACAAUCAAUUGACAUUUUUCUUCAUGUUUUGUAGAGAAUUUUUCUUCAACCUGGGUCUUUGCCUAGAGCACCUAAACUGUCAUCCAAAAUUAAUGCCCAAUUGAAUUAACUUCCUAAAAUGUUUGACUCAGAAGAUGAGAAUAUUAUACUUGCUUUUUAUUAUCCAAGUCAGAACACAUGUAUUCAACAAAAAUACUAUUGUUAAAUAUGAACAUAAGACAGAAGACAAAGUCAUAAUACAAAUGAAAGAAAAGUGAAUGUACACUUGCUCAAAUUGAUUUCCUCAGUCUAAAAACUUAGGAUUUUCUUUGUCUUAGUAUGAAGACUCAUACAGCCAAAUUUUAAACACUUUCACAUAGACAGUGGUGAGAGUUUGAUCAAGCAUUGGAAACAGGCAGCUAUAGCAUGGCACUAUGAAGAAUAUGAAUAAAUAUAUCAAAAGCUAAUUUAUGUAAAGCACUUGUAUACGAUGGCCGCUGUGCUAAACACAUUACAUGCCUCAUGUCUUCUAAUCUCAAAACAUCUCUCUGAGGUACACUCUUUUAAAUUAAACCUUAGUGAAAUUAAAUAACUUGCUCAAGGUAAUUUGCUCUAUAGUAAGUAGGGGAGCUGGGACUGAAAACCAGGUCUAACUUCCAUUGUAUUCUUAAACCCUACCCUGUGUUAAAGAUGUUUGCCCCUACAUCCUAGGAAGUUGUGAUCCGAGAUCUAGCUGCAGGCAUGGCAUGCAUUCUCAAAGCAGAAGUAUCACCCCAAAGGGGAUAAAAAUUGGUUCUUUGGGGAAGGUGAAAGAAAUCUUACUUGUUAAAUAUAUAAAGCACACAAAUAUACAUAUAGCACAUGACCAGAUGUACAGUACCUCUAUGAUAUUAGAAUUCGACUUGGGGAGCAAUUAGGGAAAAACAAGGUCUAACAGAGGCUCUCUGGGCAAGGAAAGAGGGAUAAUGAAAAAAAAGUUUGAGAAGCACUAAUCUACAGGCUUAAAAGGGCCAAAGAUGUGAAUGCCCCUGGACAACUCAUCAACUCUCUUGGAAAAUUAACAGUCAUCUACCAGACUAUGCAACUGCUGGUGGGAGAAACUGUCACAUUCUUUGGAAUCUAAGAUACAGAAUUUUGAAAGAUGAAACAAGUAGGUUAUGACUGACAUGCAUCCUAAAGGAACACUCAGGUGCUAUAACUGUAUCUGUCAAAAAUUUCUUGUUGACUUUCAAGGAAAUUAUUUACUUUGCAAUAAUUUAUAAGUAAAUUCUGGAAAGCUAAUGCAGAUAAAAUUCUGGAAUUUUUGAUGUGUCACAAAAUUAAACUAUCAAUGCAAAGAGUAUAAAGAGGUCAAGGUUAUAAAUAUGUGGUAUAGAAAAAUCAUCAUGCCACUAUGAUAUUAAUUGUAACUGCUGAUGGCCAGAAGUGAUUCAGAUGUGUCUGCAGAUUCUGAAUAUGAAAUAGAUUUAGGCUCAGUUUCUGAUGGUUAUACUGAAGAUAGUGGCCAGCACUUUGUCUAUUAUUAUUGGUUAGAAAAAAAAAUGCUUUUCUACACUUGACAAAGUUUAUUUCGUGCCCAAAAAGUUGUGAAAACAAUGGAGCAUAACCCAGUGUAUGGCUUCUUGGGAUCAAGUAAAUGCAGCACACAUAUUUGUGUGUGUAUGUGUGCCCAUGCGUGUGUGUGUAGAUACAUGCAGACAGGGUUUCAUCAAGAAUUUUCACCAAAACAUCAAAAAUGUUAUUUCUACUACUCUCUGAAUAGUGUGAUUUUGGGGUGAUAUUUACUCUUUUAUUUAUACUUUCCCAUAUUUGAAUUUUUAAAAGUAAUAAUAUGCUUAAAUUAAUGUCAUGAUCACAAUAAAGCCAACUGUGAGCUAUUUGUAAAUACUUUGAAGUGUCAAAGGGAAUAUUAGCGUAUGUUAAAAUAAAAGGAUGCAUAAUUAUACACUGUGUGAUAAUAUAAACUAUACAUGCACACACGCAGACUCACAUUCACAUGCAAAAUCUCAGAACUGAAAAACAUCAAAAUGAUAAUAGUGGUCAUCUACAGCUAUUUGAUUAUAGAUCUUUUUAAAAAUACCUUUCUGUUUUUCCAAGUUUUCUAUAAUGUGUAUGUGUUACUUUC